AUGAGCGCAUUGCCAUUUCGGAGACAACUGUGGCACUUCUGGCGUUACAAGCAACUGAUCCGAGCCCUGCUCGGACUGAGAAGAGCAGAGCGGAUCGUUAACAGGGCUACCUUCAUCAUAAGCGCUGGUACAAAUGACAUGCUCCUAAACUACAUCGCGUCGAACCGAUCAGCAGGCCCCAUCGCCAUGCUGCGGUACGAGAACCACCUGAUAGCACGCCUCGGCAACUAUACCCAGGUGAUGAGGAUGCUUGGAGCGAGAAGGUUCGUGUUCGUCGGGCUACCCCCGAUCGGCUGUCUACCGAUCGCGAGAACAUUGCUUGGAAGGGAUCCAGAUGGAUGCGACAGCGAUCUAAACCAGCUGGCGGCUUCCUUCAACUCGAGGCUGAUUCAGCUGUCGAAUUUCAUCAACUACCAGCCCCGAUUGAGAAGCGCCUACAUAGAUACCUACACAAUCAUACGGGCCGCAACUGACAACCCUCAGAAUUACGGGCUGACGGAGGUGUCGAGAGGGUGCUGCGGGUCAGGGAUGAUCGAGGUUGGCCAGACAUGCAGAGGGCGAAGGACAUGCCCGGACCCGAGCAAGUACUUGUACUGGGAUGCUGUCCAUCCGACAGAGACAACGAACCAGCUUAUCACAAGCCUGAUGCUGGACUCCAUUGCCGGAAUCUACAGCUAG
rnacentral:rRNA from 1 species